rnacentral:rRNA from 1 species
AUUGAACGCUGGCGGCAUGCUUUACACAUGCAAGUCGAACGGUAACAGGGAGCUUGCUCCGCUGACGAGUGGCGAACGGGUGAGUAAUGCGUCGGAACGUGCCGAGUAGUGGGGGAUAACGCAGCGAAAGUUGUGCUAAUACCGCAUACGUACUGAGGUAGAAAGUGGGGGACCUUCGGGCCUCACGCUAUUCGAGCGGCCGACGUCUGAUUAGCUAGUAGGUGAGGUAAAGGCUCACCUAGGCGACGAUCAGUAGCGGGUCUGAGAGGAUGAUCCGCCACACUGGGACUGAGACACGGCCCAGACUCCUACGGGAGGCAGCAGUGGGGAAUUUUGGACAAUGGGCGAAAGCCUGAUCCAGCCAUGCCGCGUGUCUGAAGAAGGCCUUCGGGUUGUAAAGGACUUUUGUCGGGGAGGAAAUCCCCAGCGUUAAUACCGCUGGGGGAUGACAGUACCUGAAGAAUAAGCACCGGCUAACUACGUGCCAGCCGCCACCGUAACAC